rnacentral:rRNA from 1 species
AUACGUAGGUGGCGAGCGUUGUUCGGAAUUACUGGGCGUAAAGGGCGCGUAGGCGGCGCUUCAAGUCGUCUGUCAAAUGGGAGGGCUUAACCCUUUUUCGCAGACGAAACUGGAGAGCUUGAGAAGCAGAGAGGCAAACAGAAUUCCUGGUGUAGCGGUGAAAUGCGUAGAUAUCAGGAAGAAUACCAGUGGCGAAGGCGGUUUGCUGGCUGCAUACUGACGCUGAAGCGCGAAAGCCAGGGGAGCAAACGGGAUUAGAUACCCCGGUAGUCCUGGCAGUAAACGAUGUAUGCUGGGUGUGAGACUAGCGAUAGUUUCGUGCCGAAGUUAACGCGAUAAGCAUACCGCCUGGGGAGUACGGUCGCAAGAUUGAAACUCAAAGGAAUUGACGGGG